rnacentral:rRNA from 1 species
UACGUAGGUGGCAAGCGUUGUCCGGAUUUACUGGGCGUAAAGAGCGCGCAGGCGGUCGUUCAAGUCGCGUGUGAAAGCCCCCGGCUCAACUGGGGAGGGUCACGCGAUACUGAUCGACUCGAAGGCAGGAGAGGGUAGUGGAAUUCCCGGUGUAGUGGUGAAAUGCGUAGAUAUCGGGAGGAACACCGGUGGCGAAGGCGGCAUCCUGGACCGACACUGACGCUGAGGCGCGAAAGCUAGGGUAGCAAACGGG